rnacentral:rRNA from 1 species
UACGAAGGGGGCUAGCGUUGCUCGGAAUUACUGGGCGUAAAGGGCGCGUAGGCGGAUAGUUUAGUCAGAGGUGAAAGCCCGGGGCUCAACCUUGGAAUUGCCUUUGAUACUGGCUAUCUUGAGUUCGGGAGAGGUGAGUGGAAUGCCGAGUGUAGAGGUGAAAUUCGUAGAUAUUCGGCGGAACACCAGUGGCGAAGGCGACUCACUGGCCCGAUACUGACGCUGAGGCGCGAAAGCGUGGGGAGCGAUCCGG